UACGUAGGUGGCAAGCGUUGUCCGGAUUUAUUGGGUUUAAAGGGUGCGUAGGCGGCAUUUUAAGUCAGUGGUGAAAUACUUCAGCUUAACUGGAGAGGUGCCAUUGAUACUGGGAUGCUUGAGUACUGAUGAGGUAGGCGGAAUGGACGGUGUAGCGGUGAAAUGCUUAGAUAUCGUCCAGAACACCGAUAGCGAAGGCAGCUUACUAAGGAGUAACUGACGCUGAGGCACGAAAGCGUGGGGAGCAAACAGG
rnacentral:rRNA from 1 species